GGAGCAUUGCAAGGAGAGUCAAAAAAUUGCCCCCCAACUGAGGUGUGAUUCAGAAGACUGUAAGGAGAGGGGGCGGGGAGAGAGAGAUCUACAUGGUUUCUUCAUUGUGGAAGAAAGACCCUUUUGCUAAAUAUGGGGAGACCAAGAAGGAUAAUGGGCAUAGAUUUUCUCCCCUCUGACUCAUCUUCCUUGGAGGCCUUCAGGAGAGCCGUCUUUUUUAGCCUGGGUUAUGGGCCCAGAGCUCCAGGACGGGUGAAGAAAGUAAUUAGCCUGAAUAAGAAAACCAGGUUUUCUCAAAGAUAGAGACAAGACUGAGAAGUUUCAAGGUCCAGAUUUUGAGCUGCAGUCUUUCAAAAUGGAGAUGCUCCUUAAAAGCCACAGGCUCAGCAGGAUCUUACACACAAAGCACCCUGUCAGAGAAGAAGACAGACAAAAAUGAUAAAACCACUGGGAUACUGUGUUUAUCAGUGAGUGACUCUAUAUUGGUGCAUUUAAGAAAUAAACAACAUGCAAAGGACAUGUGGGAGACUGAAGAAAUUGUAUGAAAGAAAGUCAGCUGUCUCCAAAGGUGCAUAAAGAUGUGUAAUAAGAAAUUACAGGGAGAUGAUCUGUCUAAGCAUGUAACUGAAAUGUUGAAAACUUUGUAACAGCUGCAAGCACAAGGAGUAAUUUUGCCUGACAUGGUUCAGAUUGAAUUGUUAUUGAACAGUCUUCCUGAAAAUUUUGAGCCUAUUGCAAAUGUAUUGGAAACCAAA